rnacentral:sRNA from 1 species
CGUUAAAGCAAUAGCCGACUUGUUGUCGAUUCGAACUACAACCUUCUCACACGGUAAACCAGUGACCUCACAAAGUAAGUCUUGAAGCCAUAUCACCUGUCUUGCUGCUUCUGUUCCAGCCAUGAAUUCUGCUUCACAAGAUGACAUA